rnacentral:rRNA from 1 species
GAUGAACGCUGGCGGCGUGCCUAAUACAUGCAAGUCGAGCGAACAGACGAGGAGCUUGCUCCUCUGACGUUAGCGGCGGACGGGUGAGUAACACGUGGAUAACCUACCUAUAAGACUGGGAUAACUUCGGGAAACCGGAUCUAAUCCCGUAUAACAUGCUGAACCGCAUGGUUCAACAGUGAAAGACGGUCUUGCUGUCACUUAUAGAUGGAUCCGUGCCGCAUUAGCAAGUUGGUAAGGUAACGGCUUACCAAGGCAACGAUGCGUAGCCGACCUGAGAGAGUGAUCGGCCACACUGGAACUGAGACACGGUCCAGACUCCUACGGGAGGCAGCAGUAGGGAAUCUUACGCAAUGGGCGAAAGCCUGACGGAGCAGCGCCGCGUGAGUGAAGAAGGUCUUCGGAUCGUAAAACUCUGUUAUUAGGGAAGAACAAAUGUGUAAGUAACUAUGCACGUCUUGACGGUACCUAAUCAGAAAGCCACGGCUAACUACGUG